rnacentral:rRNA from 1 species
AUGCGGCAGCCACCUGGUUUUGAGGAUAUCUCCAAACCACAUCAUGUGUGCAAAUUGGACAAGGCUUUAUAUGGUCUGAAACAAGCACCCAGAGCGUGGUACUCAAGGCUAAGUUUGAAAUUACAACAGCUUGGCUUUCGUCCAUCAAAAGGAGAUACCUCCCUGUUCUUCUUUAGGAAAGAAAAGGUGACCAUGUUUACGUUAAUUUAUGUUGAUGACAUAAUUGUAGCUAACUCUUCACAAGAAGCUACUGCAGCGCUGUUAAGAAACUUAAAAAGUGAUUUUGCACUUAAAGAUUUGGGGGAGCUGCACUAUUUCUUAUGCAUUGAAGUAAAGAGGAUGCAAGAUGGCAUUCUGCUCACCCAAGAAAAGUAUGCUUCAGAUAUACUAAAGCGUGUAGGGAUGAAGGAUUGUAAACCUUCUAGUACACCUAUAUCAACCACUGAAAAACUGUCACUAUAUGAAGGAAAACUGCUAAGUCCAGAAGAGGGUACCAGAUAUCAAAGUAUAGUUGGGGCACUUCAGUAUCUAACAUUGACACGACCUAAUAUAUCUUUUUUAGUUAACAAGGUUUGUCAGUUUUUGCAUGCACCUACCUCUUCUCAUUGGACAGCUGUAAAAAGAAUAUUGAGAUAUAUUCAGGGAAGUACUGGAGCUGGUCUAACAAUAUGUAAGUCUCCUUCAACGACAGUAAGUGCCUUUUCUGAUGCAGACUGGGCAGGGUGUCCAGAUGAUAGGAGGUCAACAGGCGGCUUUGCUGUUUUUCUUGGUUCUAAUCUUAUAUCAUGGAAUGCCAUGAAACAAGCAACUGUCUCACAUUCCAGUACUGGAGCAGAAUACAAAUCGUUGGCAAAUGCAACUGUUGAGGUAAUGUGGGUUGAAACACUACUUGAUGAGUUGGGUGUUCACAGACCACAUGUGUCAUACUUAUGGUGUGAUAAUCUUGGAGCAAUAUAUCUCUCUGCAAAUCCUGUGUUCCAUGCAAGGACCAAACACAUAGAGAUCGAUUUUCAUUUUGUUCGAGAAAUAGUUGCUCAGAAAUUGCUAGAGAUAAAGUAUAUUCCAACUGUUGAUCAAGUUGCUGAUGGCUUCACUAAACCACUUCAAGUUCGACAACUUCAAGCCUUCAAGAACAAUCUAAAUCUUGACAUGUCGAGAUUGAGGGAGGAUGUUAGACGAUAG